rnacentral:rRNA from 1 species
GACGAACGCUGGCGGCGUGCUUAACACAUGCAAGUCGAACGGAAAGGCCCUGCUUUUGUGGGGUGCUCGAGUGGCGAACGGGUGAGUAACACGUGAGUAACCUGCCCUUGACUUUGGGAUAACUUCAGGAAACUGGGGCUAAUACCGGAUAGGAGCUCCUGCUGCAUGGUGGGGGUUGGAAAGUUUCGGCGGUUGGGGAUGGACUCGCGGCUUAUCAGCUUGUUGGUGGGGUAGUGGCUUACCAAGGCUUUGACGGGUAGCCGGCCUGAGAGGGUGACCGGCCACAUUGGGACUGAGAUACGGCCCAGACUCCUACGGGAGGCAGCAGUGGGGAAUAUUGGACAAUGGGCGGAAGCCUGAUGCAGCAACGCCGCGUGCGGGAUGACGGCCUUCGGGUUGUAAACCGCUUUCGCCUGUGACGAAGCGUGAGUGACGGUAAUGGGUAAAGAAGCACCGGCUAACUACG